UGUACCCCUUUCUACACAGGUUGGGAUCAGUUGCAAUGCUGUGUGUGCCUGUAGUAUUGCACUUGUCCCGGCCUGUUGAGGUUGGUGGGGACAG
ensembl:miRNA